rnacentral:rRNA from 1 species
GACGUAGGGCGCGAGCGUGUCCGGAUUUAUUGGGCGUAAAGAGCUCGUAGGCGGCUUGUCGCGUCGACUGUGAAAACCCGUGGCUCAACCAUGUGGUCUGCAGUCGAUACGGGCUAGCUAGAGUGUGGUAGGGGAGAUCGGAAUUCCUGGUGUAGCGGUGAAAUGCGCAGAUAUCAGGAGGAACACCGGUGGCGAAGGCGGAUCUCUGGGCCAUUACUGACGCUGAGGAGCGAAAGCGUGGGGAGCGAACAGG